rnacentral:misc_RNA from 1 species
GAGUGUUUCUUUGAUUAGAUUAUGCGAUUGAAAGUUUUCUGGUUUUCCUCGUAGGGCUUGUAGCUCAGUCGGUUAGAGCGCGCGCUUGAUAAGCGUGAGGUCGGAGGUUCAAGUCCUCCCAGGCCCACCAGUUACACUAUGCAGCAAAUUGCUCUGAUCACUGAAAGUUGCUCUGAGUGAGAAUGUUAAAAUCUAGUGAAAUGUUCCCAAUUCUUUAUUGAAUAAUCCCUUAAAGAAAAUUUAUGCUUAAAUAAAUUCUUCUAAGAGCAUUCAGAGCCUCCAUAGGAACUCAAAGCCUUCCAUAG